GUUGAACGCUGGCGGCAUGCCUUACACAUGCAAGUCGAACGGUAACAGGUCUUCGGAUGCUGACGAGUGGCGAACGGGUGAGUAAUACAUCGGAACGUGCCUAGUAGUGGGGGAUAACUACUCGAAAGAGUGGCUAAUACCGCAUGAGAUCUACGGAUGAAAGCAGGGGAUCGCAAGACCUUGUGCUACUAGAGCGGCCGAUGGCAGAUUAGGUAGUUGGUGGGAUAAAAGCUUACCAAGCCGACGAUCUGUAGCUGGUCUGAGAGGACGAUCAGCCACACUGGGACUGAGAAACGGCCCAGACUCCUACGGGAGGCAGCAGUGGGGAAUUUUGGACAAUGGGCGCAAGCCUGAUCCAGCAAUGCCGCGUGCAGGAUGGAGGCCUUCGGGUUGUAAACUGCUUUUGUACGGAACGAAAAGCCCCGGGUUAAUACCCUGGGGUCAUGACGGUACCGUAAGAAUAAGCACCGGCUAACUACGUGCCAGCCGCCGCCGUAA
rnacentral:rRNA from 1 species